GAUGAACGCUGGCGGCGUGCCUAAUACAUGCAAGUCGAGCGAACAGACGAGGAGCUUGCUCCUCUGACGUUAGCGGCGGACGGGUGAGUAACACGUGGAUAACCUACCUAUAAGACUGGGAUAACUUCGGGAAACCGGAGCUAAUACCGGAUAAUAUAUUGAACCGCAUGGUUCAAUAGUGAAAGACGGUUUUGCUGUCACUUAUAGAUGGAUCCGCGCCGCAUUAGCUAGUUGGUAAGGUAACGGCUUACCAAGGCAACGAUGCGUAGCCGACCUGAGAGGGUGAUCCGCCACCCCUGAACUUAGGCACCGUUCAGACCUCCACGGGAGGGAGCAGGUGGGAAUCUUCCGGCAAGGGCGGAAGCCCUACGGGACAAAGCCGCGGGAGUGAAUGAGGGUCUCGGAUCGUAAAACUCUGUUAUUAGGGAAGAACAAAUGUGUAAGUAACUAUGCACGUCUUGACGGUACCUAAUCAGAAAGCCACGGCUAACUACGUG
rnacentral:rRNA from 1 species